ACAGCCUUUUCUAAUUGGCUGAAUUCAAAUACAGAAAGUUUACCUGUUAGAUUGAAACAUGAAACAUGGUGGACAAUGUACUGGUUUAACUUGUUAAAAUAAAGUUAAAGACAUUUAACAAACAGAAGAGUUCAUUAGUUUUUCCAUUAAAAACACUUUCUUAAAAUACUUAUGUAUUUAUAUCAUUUGGAAAGUGACAUGAAAUAUUGCUAAAGAGUGAUGCAUACAGUGUUUGAGCAGUCUGUCUAGGAAUAGAACAACAACUGAAGUUGAUGGAAGAUACUGCAGAGUUUGGCAGGGAAAUAAUCCAACAGCAAAGCGGCUCUUUAAGCGCAUUUACCUAGAGGACUUACAGGGCUACAAAUUCAUGAGCACAUGUGAGCAGUAUACAAUGUACCUCAUACCAAAA